GGAUUGAACGCUGGCGGCAUGCCUAACACAUGCAAGUCGAACGGGAGUAGCAAUACUCUAGUGGCGGACGGGUGAGGAAUACGUAGGAAUUUGCCCUUAAGUGGGGGAUAACCCGGGGAAACCCGGAUUAAUACCGCAUGACCUCGAAAGAGCAAAGUGGGGGAUCGCAAGACCUCACGCUUUUGGAGAAGCCUACGUCGGAUUAGCUAGUUGGUGAGGUAAUGGCUCACCAAGGCGACGAUCCGUAACUGGUCUGAGAGGAUGAUCAGUCACACCGGAACUGAGACACGGUCCGACUCCGUACGGGAGCAGCAGUGGGGAAUAUUGGACAAUGGGCGCAAGCCUG
rnacentral:rRNA from 1 species